rnacentral:rRNA from 1 species
UGUGUCCUACGGGGGGCAGCAGUAGGGAAUAUUGCUCAAUGGGGGAAACCCUGAAGCAGCAACGCCGCGUGGAGGAUGAAGGUUUUCGGAUUGUAAACUCCUUUUGUUAGAGAAGAUAAUGACGGUAUCUAACGAAUAAGCACCGGCUAACUCCGUGCCAGCAGCCGCGGUAAUACGGAGGGUGCAAGCGUUACUCGGAAUCACUGGGCGUAAAGAGAGCGUAGGCGGGAUAGCAAGUCAGAUGUGAAAUCCUAGGGCUUAACCAUAGAAUUGAAUUUGAAACUGUU